CUCACUUAACCGAGACCGAUCAGUAUUUUUUGCAAAAACAUUACUGAAGACAUGGUGUUUUAAAAAAAAUGUAUUGUAGUGUUUUUCGCAAAUUUAGCCUUUAAAGUGGUGGUUUCGUGCAAUUUACUCUUUCAGGAGAUUCCAAUCCAACGAUGCAGCACUAGUCUGAUGGGAAGGCAGCUAUCAGUAGUCUGAUUUCUAGUGUUGCCCAUUCUUAAAUGGUUCGACCUGGAUGUAACUUGUCAACUCAGGCCGCGUUCGGUUUCCCUCUGCUCCAUAGCUCCGCUCCCAGAGCGGUAGUUAAAAUACUUGGAGCCAUCAAACAGCUGCUCUGCAGAUUCUAGAAUUCGAAGAGUUGGUGGACUGCCGAACGCGCCCAGUGUAUACAUAACCCGAGGUUUUUGUGGACCCGAAGUAAGAAACUGAGAACCGCGCGACCACCCCCCAAACUACUCCCGAAAUCCGAUCCCCUCGGUCCACUAGCUUCUCCCUUUCCGCCUCUCAAUCCGCGCGGCGACGAAGGGGAGGGAAUCCCCUAGGUUUUUAGCUGCGAGCGUCGCCGGCGGGCAGUCGGGGGCCGCGACGGCCAAGGGGAACGGGAGUGCGGACCGUCGCGGACCUCCGCAGAGGGGCAGCGUGUCAACAGCCGAAGCACCAGCAUUCCACCCGAGCGACCACGCACGCGAGGAAUAGGAGGGGAAGCUCUCGGUGGCGCGUGGCGGCGAACGUCUCCGUUAGAAGAGGUUAGGUGGAAGACAGUACAUAACACAAAGCAAGAUCUCAGCAUCUUCUCUAACCAGGUUCAAAAAACUGUGAGGGGACCGUAGGGUAGUUCACGCAUGCUCGGCGCUGGGCCCAUCUGCCUGCGGCCCAAUACGCGGCACAUAUCUUGGGCCCAGCGCAUGGCCCACCAUUGGACUUCGCGAGCAAGGCACACGUCAGAACGCGCUACCAAGGGCCUUGCGAGGCCCUCUCGCGAGGCUGUCUCCCGAGGCCUCCUCCCCUGAGGCAAGCAACUUGAGGGCUCCUCAGCCCGGUCGCACGGCGCUGCGCCUGUCACGUGGGUGACGCGCACGACGACGAAGAAAGCUAGAAGAGCGCCAGCAGGCGCACAGGAGGAGGCUUUCCUCUUUCGUGCUAAAUGAGCGAGGCCAGCACACCUGUACCCAAAGCAGUCCCCAAAGGUGGCCAGAUCGGUGCAAGAAGACCAAGACGACGAGCGUGCCAGGGCGGAGGUCAUUACCGAGCCCACCAGUGCGUCAUGGAUAGGAGCUUUGCAGGCAAAGACCAUCUUUUGUCAGGAUAAGCUGUGCUCCUGUCCCCCUUCAAACUGGCCGUUGUGGCAACCCUUCCGGCCAAGUGUUUUCGGGGGAAGAGGACCAAGGCAAGUAUAAAAGAGGGGAGGGUGCCGCUGUAGAAGGGGAUCGAUUCCUACCCCCAACUCUUGUACUCUCAUUCUCCCUCGCGAGAGCAAUCCAACCACAAAGCAGGAGUAGGGUUUUACACCGCAAGGUGGCCCGAACCUGGGUUAAUUGUCGUGUCUACUGUUCUUCUUUAGCUCGUGUUCGUCGAAGCGUCGUCGUGAGGUUGCGAGGUUGUGAAGUAGAGCAGGGCGGUAGCAGCGUGCGCACCUCGGUGUUCGAAUCUCUCGGGUCCCCGGAGGCCCGAUUCUGACAUUUGGCGCGCCGGGUAGGGGUGUGCCGCUGUUCUUCCGCUUCGUUCCGAUCUCCGCUCCACCAACUCCAUGGCUGACGCUCGCCGUGUUCGUGCCGGGUGCGGGGCGGCUCGCGUCGCCCAGACGGAGCCCGCUGGCCGCGGCAACCGCCGCCACUCUGCCGAGGCUGCGGCAGCCGCAACCGACCCCGUCGCCCACGAGCAGCAGGACUCCUCCAUGCACCCUUCUGUGCAGCUUGACGGUCGCACCGCUACGGUCUCCUCCCUCGGCCGUCGCGGGCCGGCGAACGCGGAAGCCCCGGCGCUCAUGGCGCGUGAGCUGCUCCGCUACUGCCCGAUCGACACCGGCUACGAUGCCUGGCUUGGCCGCAUCCCCACUCUAAGCUAUGAAUAGGAUUACUUGAUGUUAGUCCUUCAACAUAUGUUUUACUUAAAAAUGGAAGUUAUUGUACUUGGGUGAUGUGUCGAGUAAAUGAUGAUUCCAUACGA